rnacentral:lncRNA from 1 species
CAUGACCCUGCCUGCCUAACUUCCUCUUGCCACCCAUGCUGCUGACUGCAGUAGUGGGUCAGUAAGCUUUCCCUGAGUCGUCCUUGGUGGGGCUGGGCCAGACCUAAGACUGGAACCAGGGAGACAUACAAGGCACACUCCCUGCCCUGGCUGAGUUCACCCAGGCCUGAGAAAGAUAAAAGGAGAAAAGAAGCGGAAGCAGAGACAUCUGGGAGAGUCCUGAGUGAAGGUGGCCAUGUGAGAAGACAGGGGAGGGAGAGCAAGAGUGGAGCCGCCAAUCAAGACAGGCUGCCUGGGCCAAGACACUGGCCAAGAAGCCAUAAGCUAAGAAAAUGUUGGGAGAAAAGACGGCUGAGCCAGCAAGGACGGACUACUCUCUAUGGAUUCUCCCUAGGCUCUGGCCUUGGGUGAGUGUCACAAUCAGCGCCUUGUAAUAAACAUUACAGCUCUCCCUCUGGGAGUCAGUCCCAGAGUGAAGACAACCCUCAGGGUCCUCCUUCCCCAGAAACUCCCCAGGGCCAUCUGUGAUCACUAGAAAUGUUACUGAGGUGU